UACGGAGGGUGCGAGCGUUGUCCGGAUCACUGGGCGUAAAGGCGCGUAGGCGGCCUGAUAAGUAGGGGGUGAAAUCUUGCGGCUUAACCGCAAGGCUGCCUUCUAAACUGUCGGGCUAGAGCACGGUAGAGGCAGGUGGAAUUCCCGGUGUAGCGGUGGAAUGCGUAGAGAUCGGGAGGAACACCGGUGGUGUAGACGGCUCACUGGACCGUAACUGACGCUGA
rnacentral:rRNA from 1 species